rnacentral:rRNA from 1 species
UACAUGGGGUGCAAGCGUUGCUCGGAAUUAUUGGGCGUAAAGCGCACGUAGGCGGUCCGUUAAGUCGGAUGUGAAAGCCCCCGGCUCAACCGGGGAAGUGCAUCCGAAACUGGCGGGCUAGAGUACGAAAGAGGGUCGCGGAAUUCCCGGUGUAGAGGUGAAAUUCGUAGAUAUCGGGAGGAACACCGGUGGCGAAGGCGGCGACCUGGGUCGAUACUGACGCUGAGGUGCGAAAGCGUGGGGAGCAAACAGG